rnacentral:sRNA from 1 species
CCUAGAUGGGAGAAUGGGGCCCACAGGGGACUGGAGGGCAUGGCAAGGGGCCCCAGGGGAUGACGUGUGUCUGGAGAAGAUGGUGGGGAAUGAGGGAGGGUGUGAAAUGAAGGUGUGGUGGGAGUGUGGGUAGGGAUUUGGGGCUGUGUACACAUGAGCAGGGCUGAAGUGGGAGGACAUCGGAGUAGUGACAUGAGGAGUGUUUUGCCAAACUUGUAACUGGAGUUACCCCAAAAGUGGGGGCAAGGGAGUUCUCCACACUAUCCUCAGGUGGGACCAGUUGGGAUACCAAAGAAAGAAGUGCUAAAUGCAUGAGGCAGAAGAGGCCUGGACCUUGGUGCACACAGACCCAGGAACAGAUGAGCAGGGACGUUUGCAUCCACACCUGGCCGUGCACCUACUACCUGGAGCCCAAGAGGCGAUGGGUUACUGGACAACUGUCCUUAACGUCGCUGUCGCUCAGGUUCAUGACUGACAGCACUGGAGAGAUUCUGGUCAGCUUCCCCCUCUCCAGCAUAGUUGAGAUCAAGAAGGAGUCUUCACAUUUUAUCUUCAGCUCCAUCACUAUCCUGGAGAAGGGCCAUGCCAAGCACUGGUUCAGCUCCCUGCGGCCAAGUCGAAAUGUGGUCUUCAGCAUCAUCGAGCAUUUCUGGAGGGAGCUGCUGCUGUCUCAGCCUGGAGCCAUGGCAGACACGUCUGUCCCAAGGACCCGGGGCGAGGAGCUGACGGGACUCAUGG